rnacentral:SRP_RNA from 1 species
GAGUGGGGUGGCAGGUGCCUACAGUCCCAGCCUCUCUAGCGGGUGAGGAUCGCUUCAGUCCAGGAAUUCUGCGCUAUAGUGUGCUAUACCGAUCAGGUGUCCACACUAUGUUUGACACCAGUAUGGUGACCUUCCAGGAGCAGGGACCACCAGGUUGCCUAAGCAGGGGUGAAUUGACCCAUGUCAGGCCCGGAGCAGGUCAGAACCCCCGUGCUGAUCAGUAGUAGACUGCGCCUGUGAGUAGCCACCGCACUCCAGCCCGGUCAACGUAGCCAGACCUCGUCUCU